rfam:Jeotgalibaca dankookensis strain EX-07, complete genome.
ACGAUAUUCCGCUGAUAGGUUAUAGACUAUAUAUGAAUAUUUG